GGUAUGGGAUGAGCUUGCGUCCGAUUAGCUAGUUGGCGGGGCAACGGCCCACCAAGGCGACGAUCGGUAGCCGGCCUGAGAGGGUGAUCGGCCACAUUGGGACUGAGAUACGGCCCAGACUCCUACGGGAGGCAGCAGUAGGGAAUAUUGCACAAUGGGGGAAACCCUGAUGCAGCAACGCCACGUGUGGGAAGAAGCAUUUCGGUGUGUAAACCACUGUCGUGAGGGAAUAAUACGCGGUUUCGGCCGCGGGGGAAUGUACCUCGAGAGGAAGCACCGGCAAACUUCGUGCCAGCAGCCGCGGUAAUACGAGGGGUGCAAGCGUUGUUCGGAAUCACUGGGCGUAAAGGGAGCGUAGGCGGAUGUUCAAGCGGAUUGCACAAUCCCGGGGCCCAACCCCGGACCUGCAGUUCGAACUGGACGUCUUGGAUAGUUCAGGGGCAGGC
rnacentral:rRNA from 1 species